rnacentral:rRNA from 1 species
CCUAUGGGGGGCAUCAGUGAGGAAUAUUGGUCAAUGGGCGGAAGCCUGAACCAGCCAAGUCGCGUGAGGGAUUAAGGCCCUGCGGGUCGUAAACCUCUUUUGCCGGGGAGCAGAGGUCCGGACGUGUCCGGGCCGGGAGAGUACCCGGAGAAAAAGCAUCGGCAAACUCCGUGCCAGCAGCCGCGGUCAUAGGGAGGAUGCGAGCGUUAUCGGGAUUUAUUGGGUUGAAAGGGUGCGUAGGCGGGCAUUUAAGCCGGCGGUCAAAUGUCGGGGCUCAACCCCGGCCUGCCGUCGGAACUGGGUGCCUUGAGUGGGCGAGAGGUAUGCGGAAUGCGUGGUGUAGCGGUGAAAUGCGUAGAUAUCACGCAGAACCCCGAUUGCGAAGGCAGCAUACCGGCGCCCUACUGACGCUGAGGCACGAAAGUGCGGGUAUCGAACAGGAUUAGAUACCCCUGUAGUC